UUCAAGUAUUAUUUGACAAUGUGGGAGUAAUUAUUUGUUUUCUGUUUGUAUUAACAUUGCAAACCACAGAAACUAACAUAGAAUAACUUAGGUUGAAAAAAAGUUACCAGAAGGAUUUUAUUGCAGAAUUAACAUGAGAGCUGGAAAAAAAAAAAAAAAACAGGAGAAAGGGCAAGAACCAGAGAAAAUGACACAACAGAGCCAUCCACAGCUGGCUUAACCUGCAUCUUAGUCCCUCCCUCAAGAUGUAGCAUCCUAGGCAUAUGCAUUCUCUUAGAUCUGCCUCAGUCAGUUUAUUCCCCAAAUGCCACCCUCAGCUUCAUCUUGAGAUUCCUCCAGAGUAGAAAGUGUGUUCAGAUGCCAGGCAGCCAAGCAUCACAAAUGUCUACUGCAACACUUCACACUUUCGUCUACCUAAAAAACUUCUGCCAUACUCUGAAACUCAUUCUCAUCAGUCAAUAUCUUUUUUUCUCUCUCCCUCCCUCACUUGCUCCACCCCCCCUCUCUCUUCCUCUCCCUCUCCCUCCUUUCCUCCCUUUCAGUGCUGUCUUACCCUUCUUUCCCACUUCCCCUCCCUAGCACCCUGAUAUAGUUUGGAAGUGUGUCCCUGCCCAAAUCUCAUGUUGAAUUGUAAUCCCCAGUAUUGGAGGUGGGGCCUGGUGGGAGGUGAUUGGAUCAUGGGGGUGGGUUUCUUAUGAAUGGUUUAGCACCACCCCCUUGGUACUGUCCUUGCAGUAGAGUGAGUCCUCAUGAAAUGUGAUUGUUUAAAAGUGUGUGGCACCUCCCCGCUCCCUCUCUUGCUUCUGCUCUGACCAUGUGACAUGCCUGCUCCCCCUUCACCUUCUGCCAUGAUUGUAAGUCUCCUGAGGCUUCCGAGAAGCCAAGCAGAUGCCAGCAUCAUGCUUCCUGUAUAGGCUGCAGAACUGGGAGCCAAUUAAACCUGUUUUCUUUAUAAAUUACCCAGUCUCAGGUAUUCCUUUGUAGCAAUGCAAGAACAGCCUAACACCCUCUACCAUAUCACUCUUAUAAAAAACCUUGAUAAUAGCAUUUUUAUUAUGAUAAGAUAUAUAUAACAUGCAGUUUAUGAUUACUGCCUUUUUUAAGUGUAGAAUUCAGUGCCAUUAAGUACGUUCACAAUGUUUUGUAGCCAUUAACACUUUCUAUAGCAAGCUAAUUUCAGUGAAGGCUUUCCUCUGAUGAAUGUGGUCUGAGGGGAUUAGAGGUAAUUUUGUAGAAACUAAGAUGGAAACUGAUCCAUUAUCAGGGAAGGUGCCUGGCAUGAAAAGGCACAUUAUCAUGCCUUGUUGUAGAAGGCAACAUAUGCCAUUUAUAGAAUAGAACCACUUUUAUUACUGCUAUGGCUCAUCAGCACAUAGCUGUUGGUUUGUAUUGAAAAGUAGACUGCUCCCAGGUAGAACCCUUUGGUUCAAGCAUGGCCAGUUGAUUUAGCAUUGAUAUCCCUAUCCAGGCCUCAUUAGUUGCUUCAUAAAUAAUUCUCCGGUACAAAGUUAGGAAGUUAAGUAAAUUCCUAAUAAAUGAAAUAGAAUCCAGUGUAACUCCAGUAAACACUGGAAUUGUCUAGAUAAGUAAAACAUUAAUUAUUUACUUUGUUUGCUAAUGUGUUAUCUGUAUCUACAUUCUAAACAUAUUCAUCACGCUUACACAUCAUCUAAAAAGAGAACCCUUCUCUGGCCCUCACUUUGUCACAACUCUGCCCAUCACUGACUUUUCAUAAGACCCCCAACCACCAGUGUUCCCGGGCAGGGGAAAAGUUGCCUCCACUGAAAAUAACAUAACUCAGCACCGUUGACAACACCCAUGCAAUUGAUUCUAUUAUUCCUCAUCGUUUGGAAUUUUAAAAGCUAAGUGACAUAAAUCCCUGCCACUAAUAAUGUCCUCACGAUUAUUAUGGUCGUUCGCAUUUCCUGACCAUAUUAGGCAACUUACCUGCUUAGGAAGUAGAUUUUAUAAUCUAUCGGUUUUCAUACAAAUAUUUUAAACAGAGAAACCAGGACAGGUGUGAGAGUGGGGAUGACAGUCUUAGAGAACCUGGAUUCAAUGCCAUCUAAAUAAGGUGAGAGAGAAAGCAAAGAGUUACAAAAAAGCCUAGAAAGUUUUCAUCAAUUGUGUCGUUGUUGACAGAUGGGUCAAAAUCAAAGUUGAUGAUCAGUCAUAUGAUCUUCAGCAGCCCUGGAAGGGUGUGAGUUCUCGGCAUCCCAUGCAGGAGCUCUGAAUGUACAAGAGGUGCUGAGGAGGGAGCAUGCGCCGAAUACCACUGCCUUCUUUCUGUGUCCAAACAAGUUAUGACUGGAAUGGAAAGUAUAGCCACCCGGGGCUGUCAGUACCCCUACCUACUCAAUUGCAGACAUGUUGAUACAGAACAUGAUCAUCGAAUUCCAGUGAAGCCACAGUGAUGGGAGUCCAGCAUGAGUAAAAGCAAGUAGAAGGAAGAAGCCCAGAAAAACCAAAGCGCCUAAGGCCCAUGAAAGCUGUAAUGACUCCUUACCAUGAAGAUGCUAAAGGUUAAGAUGCAAGAACACGAGUGUCAAGUUCUGGUUCCAGACUACAUGCUCGUGGCCACUACACUCUGCUGCUGCCUCAUAUUCUAUAUGCCUUGUACACUGUAACUCCACUGAAGUGCUGGUGGUGGUGGCGUGUGUGUGUGAGAGGGAGAGAGAGAACUGGGGCAUCGGGAGGCCCCUAGCCCUCACACCUACCAGCCCAGCCACUGUGCAGAAUGCAGGGAUGAGUUGUUUCAUUUCAGGUGUUCACUCUGCUUUUUGCAGAACAUAUUGUCCCUUGAAGGAUAUUAAUACAGGAAAUGAAUAAAGAGUGGCUUCACAACAAAUUUGAGACCAGGACAGCUUCCAUCUUAUGUGUUUCAGAUAAAUAAGCCCUUACAGUAAUCAACUCUUCGGGGCCAGACCUCUCUCCCUGGAAUAUGAAGUGCUCCAGCACACUGUAAACAACAGUGAUGUGACUCAUUUCCUGAACUGUGUCGUGGCCAUCUGCUCAAAUAUCUCCCUUCCUUUUCCUGUAUUCUAAUGAUACAGCAACUCUAUGGACAAUUAUGUAGCCAUUAAAAAUGGCAAUUUAAAUUUUCAAAGUUAAAAUGCAUAACAAUGUGGGGAAAAUGCCUAUAAUACAAUGUUAAGUGAAACAAUUGCACACAAGAGGUGCAUGUAUGUAAAAUGUGUAUGCACGAGGCCAAGGCCUAGAAGGACAUGGAAAAGGAAGCUUGUUUUCAAAAACUGGAGACUUCUUUUUUAAAGUUUCACAUAUACUUUUAAAAUUAGAAAUAAAGCAAGACGCUUCGUUGUGCAAUUUCACUGCCAUCAACUACAAACAUAAUGUUUACAUACCGACCCAGUUUUUUUGGAGCUGGGAGGAUCUCUAAGAUUGAUAAAAAAUAGUUAUUAAAAUGGCAGAUUUUUCUGGAUAUGGGAAAACUUAUCAUAAGAGAAGUAUGUCGUUUCCUUAUCCUGUUUGAAAUUUUUUAAUGGUUGGAGAACUUGUGAGGAAGGAGAUUAAGAAUGAAACAGUAAUCUUUUCUUUAAAAUGUUAUCUCACACCAGAUACAGAGAAUAAAUGAGCAGUUUCCAAUCCUUUUUAGGAAGGAGGCAGGACAUAAAUAAACAAAAUAUAGACUACAUGAAAUAUAACUUAAGCAAUCUCCCUAGAUACAUUUUUCCAUAAACCUAAAAUCUAUUAGGUAUUUUUGUAGUUCUUCAUUUCCUUCACUCACUUAAAGUCUUACUUGUCCUUGUUGCCUUGUUCUGCCUUUAUUUUACUCACUGAGUCAUCUGUUGUCAGCUUUGGGUACUUGAGGUUCGCUGGAGUGAAAAGAAUUUUUUAUAAUUCAGCUCUGUUUACUAAUACAUCUUUUUUAAGGUAGAUAUUGCACGUAAAAAGUGUUUUUUUAAAAAAAAAUCAGCCAAUGCCCUUGUGAAGCUACUUCAUUUGCUCUGUUGGUCCAGGUCAGCUAAGUUUCCCACACAUCUUUAGUAUUGAUGCAUCAAAGGACUUAGUGAAAUUAAUCAACUGCAUUUUAGACUGAAGGCUUCAUUCCACAGGAUGUGUGGGCCGUUAACAAAAGUGAAUUUUUCCCAACUCAAAACGGUAUAGAAAGGAAAAUAUAAAUGAAAUGACUUGGAGUAGGUUCAGUAUAAGGCUAAUUUUUCUUAAGGGUAAGCUUGUGGUUUAGGUUAGAACUCAUCAAGUUAAUUGUCUUCUGAUCCUUGAAAGUCAAAUCCAGACAUCUUCUUGAUGAUUCCUGUUACCAAAGUCUCUGGAACAAGUGAUGUUUCCUGAGCCUUCUUAAAGACUCUCAUACUAAGGAGGUCCUUCGGGAACCCAGUGCUAAUAAUGUGUGAUACUGGAAUAAAAAAGCAAGGGAGUAAAUGAACUUGCUGAGAAGGACCCCAGUGAACCAUUGUUCCUGAAUAUAAAAACUAAUUCCUGAAGAUUGUGGCCAAGAAGUAGGUCCCAGUGGAAAAGAAGGAGAAUCAGAGUUUGGAAAUGUGAUGAAAUUUCCAUGGGCAUAGCAGAGAGUAGAUCUUGUCACUAGUUGACAUGUGCUGCUGCCAAGGUGUGGCCCUUGGGAGAGUACAGCUAAUGGCCUCAGCGUCACCUGGAGGUCUGUUACAAAUGCAGAUAGACCACGAAAGGAUUUUUGUCUCUUCGUUCACUUCCAUCACCCUAGUGCCUUUAACAAUGUCUGCACGUAAUUGCUGGACGAAUGAAUUUCUUGAGCCCAAUCCCAAAUCAUUGAACUAAAAUCUCUGGGGGCAGGUCCCAAGAAUCUGUAUUUUAACAGGAUCCCCAGUUGGUCCUCAGGCAUAGUUUAGUGUGAGAACCACUGCCCUACUGUACAUGGAUACUGGGCAGUGUAGUACAGUGUUGAUUCCCCUGAAUGCACCACAAACUCUAGAAACCUGAAAAUGAAGGAACAGCCGCACCUUGGUUUCUACUAUGAUUAUGAUGAUGAUUCUCUGGUAUUGCAUAAAACAUUUACACCCAAUAUAUCCAGGGGUUAGGUUAGGCAGUUACACUUAUUCCCAUUUCACAGUAGAAAAACUUGGACAUAUGCGAGGUCAGAUAAUUAACAAAAAAAGAAUCAAAACCUACCCCACUAGACAAAGUUUAGGAGAUGAUGUGCUAAGCCUGAACUGGACAACGUGACAUAAUUAGCAAAGAGUGAAGGACAGCACUCCACUCGGGUCUAUUAUUGUUAUGACCAAGGUCAUUUUAAAGUAUCAGAGCCACUCUCCAGGCGAGUUAUAGGAAGAGGCCACAAAGAACCCGAAGAGAUGGCGUCUUUCAACCACCUCUGUUACUCUGCCAGUGAUCUGAGAACAAAAGGCCCUCUUGGGCUAAAAAGAACAAGUUACGGAGUCAGAAGGGGGUAUUAGGGAAGGGAAAGUGAGCCAAUCCCUGGGGCUCACCAGGAACAAUUAAUUUGUUUAGUUCUAACUAACCCAUGGGUUUACCUUGAAUGAAAGUUAGCAUUAUAUUGAAUUUACUCCGAGUCACUUUAUUUACAUUUUCCUUUCUAUAUCAUUUCGAAUUGGGAAAAAUUAGAUUUUGUUAAUUUUAGCUCCUUGGGCAAAAGGCACCGCAUUCAUUCCCAGCAUUAUCAUUCCCAACACUUCGCAUAGUAUUAGAUGACUUUCCUAUAAUCACUUCAUUCUCUUUUAUGAGACUUGAGGUUUAAUUGGAGGUUCCAAUAAGAGACUUUAUGUGUUUAAUGGAUUUUGGUAUAAUAAUCAGAGUCUGAAAUGCUAGUCAGAAGGCCAGUUGACUUCUAAUGAGGCUGCACUUGGGAGAAAAGGGUUUUAAAGAUACUACAAGUCUAUGCUGUAGAAGUAGACAUGCAAAUGUUUAGGGAAAGAUGUAAAGUGUCUUGUUACUUCUAAAUCACAGGCAUAUGUACUCCAAAACCUAUUGUUAGACUGGGUUAACUGGUGAAAAACAUUCAAAUUGAUGAGUGGGCAGUUCAACUUUUGAGAGGGACUCAGUGAAAAUAGUAACGGGACACUCGGACGCAUUCUCCUGUUGGCCACUUCUGGAGGCUUCAGGGAUUGGGCUCACCCUCCUUUCGCUGGUAACCCCUCGUGACCCCUCGGCCUGGGCUUCUCUUCCUCCUGCACGCUCCCCUGCAGAGUGGAACACAGACUUUCCAGCCUUCCUAACUGCAACCCUUCCUUACCGUCUCCAAAACAUGCACCUGCUCACUUCUUUUUAAUUAUUAAGGAAUUUUUCAAUUGGACACGCUAAGGAAAAUGGGAUUACAAAAUAAACAAGAAAUGAGGAAAUUAAAUAUUAUGGGAAAUCUUAUAUUUAUAGCUAUAUCAAAGCAAUUUCCCUAGGAAAUUUUAUGGUAUAUUGCUGGCUAGGCAUUUUCUUACUUUCCCAUUACUCGUGGGAAUAUUUUAAACAGAAGACAAGCACUCUUACCAUGGAGCUAUAUUAAACUUAAUAUAUUUAAAUACUACAUAGUGCAUAUCUGAAGUAUUACGUGUUUUGCCUACACAUGGAAACUAAUUUUUAAGUGGCCUCACCCACAACCAAGGACUCUCUGCCCUUCCCAAGGUGGAAAUGUGAGAGAUGGAUCUUCCCUGCUUCUCCCUCCAGGCCACAAGCUUUUUUUUUGUUUGUUUUUGUUUUGUUUUGUUUUGUUUUUUGAGGCAGAGCCUUGCUCUGUUGCCCAGGCUGGAGUGCAGUGGCACAGUCUCGGCUCACUGCAACCUCCACCUCCCGGGUUCAAGUGAUUCUCCCGCCUCAAGCUCCUAAGUAGCUGGGAUUACAGGUACGUGCCACCACACCCGGCUAAUUUUUGUAUUUUUAGUAGAGACAGGGUUU